AGUCGUAACAAGGUUUCCGUAGGUGAACCUGCGGAAGGAUCAUUAAUGAAUUUUAGGACGUUCUUUUUAGAAGUCCGACCCUUUCAUUUUCUUACACUGUGCACACACUUCUUUUUUACACACACUUUUAACACCUUAGUAUAAGAAUGUAAUAGUCUCUUAAUUGAGCAUAAAUAAAAACAAAACUUUCAGCAACGGAUCUCUUGGCUCUCGCAUCGAUGAAGAACGCAGCGAAUUGCGAUAAGUAAUGUGAAUUGCAGAAUUCAGUGAAUCAUCGAAUCUUUGAACGCACCUUGCACUCUUUGGUAUUCCGAAGAGUAUGUCUGUUUGAGUGUCAUGAAACUCUCAACCCCCCUAUUUUGUAAUGAGAUGGGUGUGGGCUUGGAUUAUGGUUGUCUGUCGGCGUAAUUGCCGGCUCAACUGAAAUACACGAGCAACCCUAUUGAAAUAAACGGUUUGACUUGGCGUAAUAAUUAUUUCGCUAAGGACGUUUUCUUCAAAUAUAAGAGGUGCUUCUAAUUCGCUUCUAAUAGCAUUUAAGCUUUAGACCUCAAAUCAGUCAGGACUACCCGCUGAACUUAAGCAUAUCUAAAAGUCG
rnacentral:rRNA from 1 species